UAAAUGCGAUAAGUAAUGUGAAUUGCAGAAUUCAGUGAAUCAUCGAAUCUUUGAACGCACCUUGCGCUCCUUGGUAUUCCUUGGAGCAUGCCUGUUUGAGUAUCAUGAAAUCUUCAAAGUAAAUCUUUUGUUAACUCAAUUGGUUUCUACUUUGGUAUUGGAGGUCUUUGCAGCUUCACACCUGCUCCUCUUUGUUCAUUAGCUGGAUCUCAGUGUUAUGCUUGGUUCCACUCGGCGUGAUAAGUUAUCUAUCGCUGAGGACACUGUAAAAGGUGGCCAAGGUAAAUGCAGAUGAACCGCUUCUAAUAGUCCAUUGACUUGGACAAUACUUUUAUGAUCUGAUCUCAAAUCAGGUAGGACUACCCUCUGAACUUAAGC
rnacentral:misc_RNA from 1 species